rnacentral:rRNA from 1 species
GUCAAACGGCUGAACCAGCAACUUGAAGGAAUGGAAAGUUUUCGUUACGAAAACUAAUACUUUUGUGUAAAAUUCUAGGUAUAAUAUUGAUAGAGACAAUUUUAUACCUAUGUGUCUUGACCAAAUCACGUGCCAGCAGUCGCGGUAACACGUGGAAGACUAGUGUUAUUCAUCUUUAUUAGGUUUAAAGGGUACCUAGACAGUAUAUUUAGCCUAAAUAAGGUACAAAUAUACUAGAGUUUUAUAUGAGAAGGUAGAAUUUUUGGAGUAGUGAUAAAAUACGACAAAACUAAAAAGACUGUUAACGGUGAAGACAACCUUCUAUCUAAAAACUGACGUUGAGGGACGAAGGCUUGGGUAACGAUAAGGAUUAGAUACCCUAGUAGUCCAAGCAGAAAAUUAUGAAUGCCAUAGACUAGAAAGUUUAGUCUAUAAAUGAAAGUGAAAGCAUUCCACCUUAAGAGUAAUGUGGCAACACAGAAACUUAAAUCAUUAGACCGUCUCUGAAACCAGUAGUGAAGUAUGUUAUUUAAUUCGAUGACCCGCGAAAAACCUUACCACAAUUUGUAUAUUAUUUAUUUAAUACAGGUGCUGCACGGCUGUCUUUAGUUAAUGUCGUGAGAUUUUGGUUAGUUCCAUUAAUUAACGUAAACCCUUGUUUUAUUUUAUUAUAAAAUAGCUCUGCCAUUAUAUCGGUAAGUUAACAGGGAUCAAGACAAGUCAUCAUGGCCUUAAUAUUGUGGGCUAUAGACG